AUGGAGAUGUCAGACCUCACUACCCGCCUCAUGCCGUUCAUGGCGAGCGACCUCGGGGUCGAGCAGGAGACGCUCGUGGGAAUCUUCCAGGGCAAGAGGCAGAGCGUGGCCUUCCACUACUACCCUCCGUGCCCCCACCCGGACAAGGUGAUCGGCAUCACGCCGCACCACGACGGCCUCGGACUCACGCUGCUGCUCCACGUCGACGAAACCCCCGGCCUGCAGGUGAGGAGAAACGGCACAUGGUACCCGGUGAACCCGCUGCCAGGCGCCUUGGUUAUCAACGUUGGCGACAUCCUCCAGAUCCUCACCAAUGGCAUGUACAAGAGCGCCGUGCACAGGGUGGUGGCGGACACCAAGAAAGGCCGGGCCACCGUGGUGAUGUUUCAGCAUGCUUGUGUUGCCGGGCUGGUGAAGCCGCUCCCGGAGCUAGGCGAGGCAGCGUACAAGGCGAUCGAGAAGGUUGAGUACAUCAAGGGAAACUUCAGGGCGCUUGCCGAAGGGACAUGGUUCGUGGAUAGUCUCAAGAUCAAUCAAAAAACAUAA
rnacentral:rRNA from 1 species